GACGAACGCUGGCGGCGUGCUUAACACAUGCAAGUCGAACGGAAAGGCCCCUUUGGGGGUCCUCGAGUGGCGCACGGGUGAGUAACACGUGAGUAACCUGCCCUUGACUUCGGGAUAACUUCAGGAAACUGGGGCUAAUACCGGAUAGGAAUCCUUGCUGCAUGGUGGGGGUUGGAAAGCUUCGGCGGUUUUGGAUGGACUCGCGGCUUAUCAGCUUGUUGGUGGGGUAGUGGCUUACCAAGGCUUUGACGGGUAGCCGGCCUGAGAGGGCGACCGGCCACAUUGGGACUGAGAUACGGCCCAGACUCCUACGGGAGGCAGCAGUGGGGAAUAUUGCACAAUGGGCGGAAGCCUGAUGCAGCAACGCCGCGUGCGGGAUGACGGCCUUCGGGUUGGAAACCGCUUUCAGCAGGGGCGAAGCUUGUGGUGACGGUAUCUGCAGAAGAAGCACCGGCUAACUACGUG
rnacentral:rRNA from 1 species